UACGUAGGGUGCGAGCGUUAAUCGGAAUUACUGGGCGUAAAGCGUGCGCAGGCGGUUGUGCAAGACAGAUGUGAAAUCCCCGGGCUUAACCGGGAACUGCAUUUGUGACUGCACGGCUAGAGUGUGUCAGAGGGGGGUAGAAUUCCACGUGUAGCAGUGAAAUGCGUAGAGAUGUGGAGGAACACCGAUGGCGAAGGCAGCCCCCUGGGAUAACACUGACGCUCAUGCACGAAAGCGUGGGGAGCAAACAGG
rnacentral:rRNA from 1 species